rnacentral:sRNA from 1 species
UUGGAGAUAGCGUUGGGGAAGGAGAGC